rnacentral:rRNA from 1 species
CCGCGAUUCGCCCUUCGGGGUGCAGCAGGCGCGAAAACUUUGCAAUGCGGGAAACCGUGACAAGGGAACUCUGAGUGCCCGUAAAAUCGGGCUGUCCAUCGGUUUAAAUAACCGGUGAAGAAAGGGCCGGGCAAGACCGGUGCCAGCCGCCGCGGUAAUACCGGCGGCUCGAGUGGUGGCCACUAUUACUGGGCUUAAAGCGUUCGUAGCUGGUCUGUUAAGUCUCUGGGGAAAUCUUCCGGCUUAACCGGAAGGCGUCUCAGGGAUACUGGCAGACUAGGGACCGGGAGAGGUGAGAGGUACUCCAGGGGUAGGAGUGAAAUCCUGUAAUCCUUGGGGGACCACCUGUGGCGAAGGCGUCUCACCAGAACGGCUCCUACAGUGAGGGACGAAAGCUGGGGGAGCAAACCGGAUUAGAUACCCGGGUAGUCCCAGCUGUAAACGAUGCGCGUUAGGUGUAUCGGUGACCACGAGUCACCGAGGUGCCGAAGAGAAAUCGUGAAACGUGCCGCCUGGGAAGUACGGUCGCAAGGCUGAAACUUAAAGGAAUUGGCGGGGGAGCAC